CUUGGUUGAUUGAGUGAAAGCGAGGUUAAUCUGCGGACAGCCCUAAUGGAGAGGACAUUGGCCUGGAGAAAAGCCAGACUGCGAUUGCUGUUGGUUUUCAGCAAGCCCCCCUGGGUUAGAAGGGUCUCAUCAGAUUCAAAAGUGCUAGCCUACUGAGUUGCUAAGGGGUCCGCUCUGGCCUACUGCACCUUCACAAGAUCUUAAAACCCGACAGACCCCUUCCUUCUGCAGCCUCAGCAGGCCUGCAUCCUCUCCCUCUGCGGACCUGCACUGCCAGUGAUAGGAUCAGCAUCCACACCGUCAUCGGACUGGCAGUGCCAAUGAACCGCUGAUUGGAGGAGACCUGUGUAGAAGCAAUGACAGAAGGCACUGUGCUUGUCACUUUUCUUAUCUGACUCCAUUAUCAUCAACCUGCCUCACAAAAGUGUAAAACUACUAGAAUAAACAGGCCAUCUGGAAGCUGAUAACACAGGGAUUUGGGUUUUAGAGCAUUCAUCUAAUUUAACUGCAUAAAACAACUUCUCUGAAACUUUAUUUGGCUUGUUUAAACCAUGUUUUUCUGACAUAUUGUAAUCAAGAGUGAAUCAUAUCUCAUUUAAACCACUAAUCAGUAUACUCCUCUAUCCUCAAGAUAAUCAACUGCACAC